AACGAACGCUGGCGGCAUGCCUAACACAUGCAAGUCGAACGAGAUCUUCGGGUCUAGUGGCGCACGGGUGCGUAACGCGUGGGAAUCUGCCCUUUGGUUCGGAAUAACAGUUGGAAACGACUGCUAAUACCGGAUGAUGACGAAAGUCCAAAGAUUUAUAACCAGAGGAUGAACCAGCGGAGGAUUAGCUAGUUGGUUUGUUAAAGGCGCACCAAGGCGACGAUCCUUAGCUGGUCUGAGGAGAUGAUCAGCAACACUGGGACUGAGACACGGCCGAGACUCCUCCGGGAGGAAGCAGUGGGGAAUAUUGGACAAUGGGCGAGAGCCUGAUCCAGCAAUGCCGCGGGAGUGAUAAAGGCCUUAGGGUUGUAAAGCUCUUUUACCCGGGAUGAUAAUGACAGUACCGGGAGAAUAAGCUCCGGCUAUCUCCGUGCCAGCAGCCGCAGUAA
rnacentral:rRNA from 1 species